AGCUCAACUGCUGUGCUGGAAGAAAAACAGCUGCCAUGAUUGCUGUUUGAUUGAGAGCGCUUACACACACACACACACACACACACACACACACACAAAACACAUCGGACGGCAAAGACGAGCUACAAAUGCCUGAGGAUUCAGCUUUAGAGGAUCAACACACAUUUCCUUUAAAAAAAUAUAAGUAUUAUAAGGUUUUUCCUCUCUCUCUUUCUCUCUCUCUCUCUUUUAAGAAAAUGUACUACGUAGAAUUGCUUUUCUUCUUCCCAUCCCCCCUUCAUAACCUCAAGCAAACUCGAGGAAUCAUGCCAAAAGUCCCGUUGCUAGUUACCAAGUGCAUUUUUUUAAACGUCCCUUUUAUACUUCUUUCCCUCAUGCUUGCUGUGGAAUAUGCAAGUGAGAUAAUCUUUCCAUUACUUAGAAAAGCAAUUAAAAACAACUUUCAGUUGAACUUUCCUUUUUAUUAAGGGGGCAAAUGGGGGAAGGGGGGAAGAAGAGGGAGAAUAUUUUUUCCUCUUCCCAGAACCCAACAUUUGGCUUUUUCCAUUUGUGGCAGAUCACUGUAACUCUAUUGUAAAACAACUUCCUGCCCCUUUUGGCUCAAGUUCCAGAAGCUGCUAGGCUAAGUUCAUAGCACAAACUUUUUUUCUCCUUGCCGAAGAAGCAAGACAAAAAAAUCCUUGCUAAUUAUUUUGACCUCUUUUUUGCAAAUGGAUUCAUAAGAUGAAUUUAUUGCAGUCCCCUUAGCAAUGUUACAAAAGAGACGUCCGUAUACCAGCUGGAUAAUUCAUAAACUUAAAAGUGAGAGUAACUACUCAAGGGACCAACAAAAGUCAGUUGCAUAAUAGAGCUGGCCGUUAAAAUAAAGAUUUCAAUGAUGAAUGGAGAAUAUCAAACAGAAGAAAUGGAUGGACAUGGGUAACAGAACACAAUGUGCGCCCAUCAAUUACACAGCAUGGAGAGGAGCCAAAGUUUGAGGAAAAAAGGUGAGAAGACUGUCUGGAGGGGAGCAGUGCCUACAAAAAAUGCUCCUAACUCUCCACUAUUGCACAGAAGCUCUUUUGAGUAAUCUUUACACGGUUGGAGUUCCAAUGGAAAUUGAUGGGAGUCAAGGCCAGGCAGGGGACCUGCACUGGUAAAGAGCCUAUAACAGAUUCCAGCUAUUCCUGAAUUUCAUGCAAGUCUGAGCAUUUGGGUAUUCAUUCAACCUUAAUGUUAUUGAAGUACUGUUGACCAAUAUAUGGCACUGUGCAGCAAAAGUGAAAACUUUAAUUCUUCCUGGACUGAUUUCGGCUCGAUGCAGAAAAGCACUUAAGCACAUGCUUAAAUCCAUCCUUUUUCAACUCUUAAGCAUGUGCUUAAGUUCCAUUGACUUAAACAUGUGCUUCACUUGAAGCGCGUUCCUAGGUACUUUCCUGAAUCAGGGCCUUAGAAAGGAAUAAUACUAGUAAGACAAUGAUGGAGUACUAGAAAACAGACAAACCAUUAUGACUGUGCACUGCUUAGAAAGGGGAAAGGGAUAAAGAAACAAAAAUAAACAAAAAUAAAUUUGUUAGCCAUUAAAGUCUGCCAAGAUUAAGUCCUUCUAUGCACAUUACUUAUUGGAUUUACUACAAAAUGCAAUCUGCAUAUCAGGGCACUUUUGUCAAGAGUGGCUUCUGCUUCCUGAAAAUCAAAUCCUGUGCCAAACUGAGCAGCACUGAUAUAGAAUACCAUGCACUGAAUCAUACCUGAUCCAAAUAAGAUAUUUUAGUGUGGAGCAAAUCCAGCAACCAUGAUAGCUUAUGGGAGAAGAGCUAAAUCACAGGUUCCAAUAAUUCCCUACCUGGUCACAGAGCAGGUGUACAAAUUAAGAAUUACAAAUUAAGAAUACUCAAAUGACCUGAUCUGAGGCCUACUGAAGUCAAUGGAAAAAGAGUCCCAUUAAUUAAAACAGCUUUUAGAUCAGGGCCAAGGAAUACACUUAAGCAUCAUCAACAUUACAAUUUUUAAAAUCAUGUAUUAACCUAUAGUUAAAAACAACUAGCAACAAAUGCCUGUUCCUUGUCUACACUACAGUUUACCAUUGUGUCAGUUUAAACAUGAUUGCAAACCAAAUUGGAGGCAAGCCCUUAGUGAACUGCUAUGGCACUGAGUAAAAUUUGACAGCCAUCUGGAAUUCAUACUUUAACACUGUAUCCUCAAUUGUCUGAAUGAAGACCAGAAGGCCUGAUGUUCCCCAUAUAUCUCACUCCAAUUGUUCUGGAAUAAACUAUACCAACAGACACUUUAUAUAGGAUUUCAGAGAGACUUUACCUUGUUACUGCAGAUAUAACAUCAUUCACAGAAGUCAUGGGGCUUGUACAUCCUGGAACCAUUUUGCAAUUAGAACUUCUCCCUCUGCUGAUUCAGCACUUGCUUUUUGUCUAACCCAGCAUGCCAUCAGUGCUCUCAUGAUAGUCUUCUCCUCUGCAACUUCUGCCAUCUGAAAUAAUCUGCCUCUCUCUUUCCACCUCUUUUCAAAUCUUGCCUGAAAACACGUUCUCUCCUUUGUCUAUACACCUCUUAAUUUAUCCCUCCCUCUUCCUUUAGAAAAUGCACUACAUUGAGUUGUGUUGUAUUGAAAUGUUCUUUGGUUCACCUCUAUAUUUUUUCCUCAAUUUCUAUUUCAGGCAGGAGGAAGGAAUCCAUUUUAGGAGUACACUAAUAGAUGUUCGCAAGCAAUAAACUGACCAUGACCACAGGAGAACAUGAAAUAAACUAUAGUAGUCAGAGCACUAGAACAGGACAGUCAGCUCUACCACAAACUUACUGUGACACCUUGGGCAAAUAGCUUAAACUUUCUCUGCCUUAGUUUCCUCAUAAUUUUCAAUUAUGACAGUACUUCACAUGUGUGGUGUUAAAAUCUGUAAAAGGCUUUGAGUUCCUGGAAUGGAAAGAGAAUCCAGAAACAGAAUCAUCAUCGUCAUUAUUAUUACAAACUAUCCCUUCACUGAAUGUGAUUGUUACAGGGCAUAGCUGGCAACAAACGGGUAUUUUUUCCAGUCAGACUCAGAAUCACAAGCAUUCCUUUUGCACACAUCUAAAGGUCCAAUUAAAUACGACAGAAUAUUUCUGGAUAGGCCUCCCAGCUUCCCCUAAAUGUGGUUGACUAUGGAUUCAUUUUACCAUAUGUUCUUGGAGAACACGCUGAAGUAUAUAUGUUCUGGUGCUCCACCUCCACGGGGAAAGGAGAGUUCCCUGGUGCUCUAGUACUACACUAAACAUCACACUAGUUCUCGCCUUGUUUGGAGUGGGGAAUAUAUAAAGUAGGCAGGGCAUAUACUGAACUAUAUAUCGCAUACCAGCCAUCUUCUUUUUAGGACAAAGAAAAUAUUGCAAAACCCAUUUGCAGAGACUGAAUGCUGGUCAUAAUUGGCUAGGCAGAUGAUACAUAGGGGCCACUUAAAAUACAGAUAAAGAUUUUAAGUACCAUAGAAUGCAGAGCUCUGAUACAAAGUCUAAAACAAUAAACAAGAACAACAUCUGUUCAGUAAAUAGGCAAUCAUCAGAGGACAUCAAAGUCAAACCUGGCAUAUAUCAAGGCACCUCCAACACGGCCAAUUUCACCAGAUCUGAAUUUGGCUCAUGGUGCCUGUCUCCCUUAUGUGGUAAAUUCUCAACUUGGACCUUAAGGAGAGCUAGCACAAGUAUGUGUACAUGGGAACGGGAAUCACAUCCCUAGCUCAUACUGUAGUGUAGACAUACUCUGAAGCAUUUGGUAACUGGUCAACGACAGAGAUAGGAUAUGGGAUAAACAAACAAUUGUGGUCUGACCUGCCAUAGCAAUUUCUAUGUUCACAUCCAAAGUAUUACUAUUAUAUAGAAGUUACUGUUUGGGAUAAUCUUGUUAUGCAUGCUUUAGUUAUAUUUUACAUAGAGCUACCUGGGGCAAAUCAGUGAAGUCAAUUCAUGCCUACAUGAACAUCAAGAAAGUUUUCGCAAAAAGAAAAGGAGUACUUGUGGCACCUUAGAGACUAAUAAAUUUAUUUGAGAUCAGCUUUCAUUUUUUUAUUUAUGCUCAAAUAAAUUUGUUAGUCUCUAACGUGCCACAAGUACUCCUUUUCUUUUUGCGGAUACAGACUAACAUGGCUGCUACUCUGAAGAAAGUUUUCAACAUUUUCACUUAUUAGAAGUGAUGAUAGGUGUACAAUACAAAGUGCAACUUGUUGCAUCCAACUAGUUUGUAUUCAUCCUUAAUAUCUGAAUAAAUAAAUAAAUAAAUAAAUAAAAGGUUGGCAGGCUCAAAAUAUGAUCUACUUUUUCAAUAUAUAUAUAUAUAUACACAUUUUUGCAGAUUUCAUGUAAUUUUUAUACACUAUAAUAUUGCAAAAUGAAUGGCGAUAAACUAAACCGGUUAAAAUUAACAGAAAAGCUUGCCCUUAUCACUUAUGCAAUUUACUAAGGGGAGUUCUAGAACAAACACUUUUUUAUGACAAACUGCAGCCACAUCUCCAGAAGCAUUCCUCAUUGUGAAGUUUUAUUGUAAUUGGCUCUUCUGCAACCCCUCCAGCUAUUGUAUUAAUGCUCUUUUUUCCUUUUGAAAGUAAUAUCAGCUGCAGCAACCCAACACUCAUAAGCCUAUAAUAGUAAACCAGUCAGUGCACAUAGAGAAAACAUCCAACACCCAAGGAAGGAGUGCAGCAGUGUGUAUGCUGCCCAAGCACAAUGGUAACUCCUGGUGAUCUCUGGGGGCAAUGCUCCUCCAAAGCACCCGUUACUACACAGACUAUUUGCAAAAUCUAGAAAGUUCUCUGUGGGACAGAGUGGGGCUCAUUUGAAAUAAUUCUUUCCCCUCCCUAGAUUCAUACUCUUAAUUUGGCAGUUUGCUUUAACUAAAUGUAGGGGGCCAGUGUAAAUAUGCCUCUUUGAAGCAUAUUAACAUUAUAAAAUCUGUUACACAGCAUCACCAACUCUUGCAAGCUCCAAAAGUCAUGCCAAUAUGCAAAAAUCUCAGCUCUUACUUUUGUUUUUUAAGUUAGUGUCUAGCCUUCAUGGUAAUGGAGGAAAGCUUGAAUACAUAAUCAGAGUUUACCCAAAAGGAUAAAAAAAAAGAAAGGUAAAUAAACAGAAACCAAAAGGCAUUUAAAAGAAAUGAUUUUUAAGACAAUUAUUAUUGGGGGGAGAGGGAGUUGACUCAUGAUUUUUUGAACGUUAAAGGUUAGAUUAUGUCAUGUCUCAGGGGACUGGUAAUGGGCUACAGAGCCUUCCAUCUCUAGGUUCCCAGUCUGAAUCUAGCACAAAUUGACUAUGAUUAAAGAUUUUUACAUCUGAUGACUGUUGAGUGGUCUGUGUGAAGUUAAUCUGGUGAUUUCAGUCCAGUAACUAAUGGACAUGUGCCCACAGCACAAAGUGAGCACCAUAUAUGCUGUGGGAACAUGACCAAGCAUUUCAAAAAGAUGAUGGUAGCAAAAGCUAUCUAUUGAAUGAGCUAAACCAAGGACUCAUUAAUGAAGCUUUGUUAACUGUAUAUAAAAUACUUAAUGUCAUUGAUUUUAAAAAUGUAUGGUGUGAAGUCGAUGUGUUUUAGUAAUAAUAUCAUGUGUUGUAUGUGGGGGAUACAAGCGAUACAAAGUAAAAGCAGCAUUAAGCAAUAUAGAGCAAGAAAACUUGCCCUCUUAUCACCACAGAAAAGUUAAAUAUUUAAUAUAAGAGAGGUGACAUCAGUUGGUGCAGAGUAAGAAAAUUAACAAGGGUCCAACACAGGGAAGUUAAAUGUGGACCCACGGCAGCCCAUAUAAUGUGGAAGAAGUUUGUUUUCCCUCCUCAAAAACUAUUGCAAGACAAUGCAAGGUCUGGAAACCCCCAGAUUCAUACUGCUGUUUGCAGCUGGGGGGACAAUCACAUGUUCAGGUGUAAUGUCUUACAGACAGAGUUGCUGGCAGGUGAAUUCACUCUGGGAGAACAGACUGCACUGUAUAGUUCCAAUGUUGGGAUGCUGGGUAAAGUAAAAAUUGACUACAUAGUAAUAACAAGAUAGAGUGGCGGCUAAAAUUGACCACUUCUGUCAUGGACCCAGGGACUGUUAUUAUAAUUGGCCUAUGUUUUGUUUCACACUUAGAUUUUCUGUGGUGAUAAAUGGAAAAAUAUAUUUUGUACCAGUUUUUAAAAAUGUAAUUAAAAUAAAAACAAAGUUAAAGUUACAAGAGGAUGCUUUAAAGGCAGAGCAAAUUUAUAUUGUGGCAUUAUACCCCAGUGCGCUAUCCCAUUGAUGGUGAGCUUCCAUCCCCAGGUUUGUACUUUAAGCUAUUGUUUAUGGUGUUCAAAUGACUACAACUACUGUGGUCUUGGGAACGUGUUGCUGGGUAAUAAACUUAAAAAAGGAGGGGGGACGGAAUAUAAUGAAAAUGAAACAAAUGAUUAUGUAGAAAAGAAAAAAGGCAUGGAAUGUAGGGCUGGCUUGACAUGAAUAAUUAAACAUGGGGAAGGCCUCAUUUCUUUGAAGACAGGGUUAGGAAGGUAACAAGAGCAGUAGGCUGAAAAUGAAAUGUUUGUGCUAAGAUAAGUAAAUAGGUCAGUAAGCUAAAAGACAGAAUGUCUGAGCUAGCUAAGACUAGAGGGGGAAUACCCCGGGAACCAUUUACAAAGAACAAGAUAACAAUGGAUAAGAUAAAUUGGGAACAUAAAGAUGAGGUAAAGACUAAGACGUGCAUAGACAGAGCAGGCUGUAUAGCGAUUGGUUCCUACAAAGUUACCAAGCUAAUUCCCAAAGUGUGAUGCAAUGUAAUGUAAAUGCAAUGUAAUGUAUAAAUGUAUACAAAGUAAGAUGUUUGCUUGUAGCUUUGGCUGUGUGGCACCCACAAUACCCACCCCUACCCUUGAGUCUGAUCAACUCAGAGUAUGCCAAAGAAACCUGAGAGACAAGACUGAAAUCAAACUCAGUUCUUUGGGAACUGAGUGGAAGAGGUCUUGGGGUGGGGGAACUCAAUGUACGGGGGGGUGCCGUAACACUAUUAUGCCAAAUUGUCAUAAACUUUUCUGGUAAUCUCAGCAGAAGGAAAAGAGUGAAAGAACAGGGAGAAUGCAGUAAUCACCCGUUUACCCCUAGAGGUGGUGUUUAUGGACUGAGACACAUUGUCAGGGCACCAUGGGGAAGCUUAUACUGCUACUGCACAUGCUCUACCUGUUUUGGGUGGUCUGAGUGGGGCUGGUUCAGUUGGAGGUGUCCCAGCAGCAAAUUUGGAAAGCUCAUCGUGUCCCACUCAGCAGUGUGGAGGCAUUGCUAUUGCAUCCCUGGAGGCGCAGUGAGGAGCAGCACUCUGACCUUGGACUGAAGGAUGAAUGUCAUCUUUCCAGCAUCCUUACACCAUACCUAUGAAGAGCCUCAGUAUUUGGGCUUUGGGCAAGUGGAAUGAAUUGCACUGUCAGAUCAUACUGCAAAAUUCAUCUGUUUUCUUGAGCUUUUAUUGAGAAGGGGAACUAAUGGAGGGAAGUGAGGUGUUUAGAUGUAGAGAGUUGUUAUUAUUUCAGGGAAAUAUUCUAGUAGGGAUGUACUAUGUUUUGUAUAUUUUAAAAAAUUAUUUAUGUUUAUAUCGAUAUCUAAGUAUCUAUAGAUCCUGGGAAUCCAUUCUUGAUAUAAAUCUGAACAAACAUC